rnacentral:rRNA from 1 species
AGCGAACGUUAGCGGCGCGCCUAACACAUGCAAGUCGCACGAGAAACGGAGCAAUCCGCGGUACAGUGGCGCACGGGUGAGUAACACGUGGAUGACCUUCCCUGGAGUGGUAGAUAACCUGCCGAAAGGCGGGCUAAUACAGCAUGGGACCACGACGCUUUGGCGAUGUGGUGAAAGCGGGCCUCUAUAUAUAAGCUCGCGCUCCGGGACGGGUCCGCGUCCCAUCAGCUAGUUGGUGAGGUAACGGCUCACCAAGGCAACGACGGGUAGCUGGUCUGAGAGGAUGGCCAGCCACACUGGAACUGAGACACGGUCCAGACUCCUACGGGAGGCAGCAGUGGGGAAUCUUGCGCAAUGGGCGAAAGCCUGACGCAGCGACGCCGCGUGGGCGAAGAAGGCCUCGG